rnacentral:rRNA from 1 species
GGCGAGUGAACCGGGAUGAGCUCAAAUUUAAAAUCUGGCGUCUUUCAGGCGUCCGAGUUGUAAUCUAUAGAGGCGUUUUCCGCGCCGGACCGCGUCCAAGUCUCUUGGAAUAGAGUAUCAAAGAGGGUGACAAUCCCGUACUUGACGCGACAACCGGUGCUCUGUGAUACGUUCUCAAUGAGUCGAGUUGUUUGGGAAUGCAGCUCUAAAUGGGUGGUAAAUUCCAUCUAAGGCUAAAUAUUGGCGAGAGACCGAUAGCGAACAAGUACCGUGAGGGAAAGAUGAAAAGCACUUUGGAAAGAGAGUUAAACAGCACGUGAAAUUGUUAAAAGGGAAACGAUUGAAGUCAGUCGUGUGAAAGGUAUUCAGCCGUCUCUGGCGGUGUAUUUGCCUUUCACGGGUCAACAUCAGUUUGAUCCGGUAGAAAAAGGCGGGAGGAAGGUGGCACCCUCGGGUGUGUUAUAGCCUCCUGUCAUAUGUGCCGGACCAGACUGAGGAACGCAGCUUGCCGCAAGGCCGGGGUUCGCCCACGUACAAGCUUAGGAUGUUGACAUAAUGGCUUUAAACGACCCGUCUUGAA